rnacentral:rRNA from 1 species
CUCUCUCCUUUCCUUAGGCACGCACUCUAAAAAGCAGUUUGUGGGGGAAGGGAGCGGCGGCGGCGGUGGCGGUGGCGGAGCUGGCGCUCGCUACCGCGGCAGGCGGUCGAGGAGGAGGAGGCUGCCGUGCCUGAGGUGGCCAAGGAGGAGGAGUAGCCCCUCGCUGGCGGCGCAGGCGGCGGCGGUGUCGGCGGCGUUCCUGCGGCGCGGCAGGUGCAGGAGGAGGAGGCGCGACUUCCACGCGUUCCUGGCGUUCAGGGCGGUGUUCGCGGCGGCGGCCCUCUCCGCGUUCAGGGCAAGCCUGCUGCUGUCGAUGUCGCGUUCGAGAAUACUAUCACUGGCGCUCCGUAGACCGUCUAGUGCGUUCGUAUUCUUCUCGUCAUCUAGUUCCUUCAGAUCCCUUUCUCUCGCUUCGUUCCUAUCCGUAGUAUUUGCCCUGUUCUCAUUUGUGUCUCUCCAUUUAAAAGAUGAAUGGAUUUUUUUAUGGAAAAUAGUAUCGUAUUUUAAAACCAUUUAACUUAAAUAGUGUACAUUAUUAGCAAAAGACAUUUAGUCGUUGACAACCAUAUUAAUCUAAAUAGUAACCAGUAUAUACUUAACUUUUUAUAAGUUAUAGUACAUGAUGUGUGACAGAAUCGUUGUCUUUAUAAAGAAUAGGAAAAAUAAAGGUACACUCUCUAGGAAUAUAAAGAACGAUGGACAAAGACCCAACCGAGAAACUGUAACCUCGACCCUAAGCACUUGCCCACUGUUGUACCACAUAACCGAACGACCAACAGAACCAACAAUACAAAACAAGAGAAGUUACGCCCUCGAAAUACGUCUUCUUUCUCUCACUUGCAAGAUCGCCAGGCCAGGUCGAAAGGUUCAAGGAACCGGCACUCUUCCUCCUUUCGCCGUUUUCCUCACAAUAGAGACCAUUUUUCUAUUACUACUUCGAGCUCUUUAGGUUCCUUCUAUUCCGCCGACUCUCGUUCGCGUUACUUGACAACUUCAAAGACUUACGGUCAAUACUAACUGUUGAAUAGACUUCACCACUACGAACCGACCUACCGAACCUAAACAGAACUACGGUGACGAAUCAGUACACACGCAAACCACUAUGGUUCUUCGAAAAACAGGACAAAAAACUUCAAUACUGACACUGGUAGUCACGAAAUAUAGCCAUAUAAACCGAUCACCAACCUGUUUCCAGUGUACAUAGUGAUCCAGAACAUUAAAAACUCGAACCCCAGAAACACAAGAACUUUAAACUAGCAAUGGUCAAACAUGAAACAUCGAAGGAAAAACAUUCGGGCAAAUUGGACCUCUAUGUGGUAAAUAUCUUAAAGGGACCGUCCCUAUGAACUAUAUUCGAACAGUAUGACCCACCAUAAGAGUAG